GACGAACGCUGGCGGCGUGCUUAACACAUGCAAGUCGAACGGAAAGGCCCUGCUUUUGUGGGGUGCUCGAGUGGCGAACGGGUGAGUAACACGUGAGUAACCUGCCCUUGACUUUGGGAUAACUUCAGGAAACUGGGGCUAAUACCGGAUAGGAGCUCCUGCUGCAUGGUGGGGGUUGGAAAGUUUCGGCGGUUGGGGAUGGACUCGCGGCUUAUCAGCUUGUUGGUGGGGUAGUGGCUUACCAAGGCUUUGACGGGUAGCUGGCCUGAGAGGGUGACCGGCCACAUUGGGACUGAGAUACGGCCCAGACUCCUACGGGAGGCAGCAGUGGGGAAUAUUGCACAAUGGGCGGAAGCCUGAUGCAGCAACGCCGCGUGCGGGAUGACGGCCUUCGGGUUGUAAACCGCUUUCGCCUGUGAUGAAGCGUGAGUGACGGUAAUGGGUAAAGAAGCACCGGCUAACUACGUG
rnacentral:rRNA from 1 species